CUCGGUCUUUAGAGCGCCUUGGACCCACCUGAUCCCAUUUCGAACUCAGAAGUGAAACGAGGCAGCGCGGACGGUAGUGUAGGGGCAACUCUAUGUGAGAAUACGUCAAGGCCGGGA
rfam:Candidatus Blackburnbacteria bacterium RIFCSPHIGHO2_02_FTLL_44_20 rifcsphigho2_02_scaffold_4717, whole genome shotgun sequence.